GCCUUCGUGGUGUAGUGGCCAGCACGCUGGGCGCGUAUUCCAGAGGCCGUUGGUUCGAGUCCCGGCGAAGGCG
rnacentral:tRNA from 1 species